rnacentral:lncRNA from 1 species
UCGGGGCGCGGGAAGAGCACGUGGCGCGGCAGCGAGGCCCUCCGCCCCGCCCUGCGCGAGGCUGCUUGGGGUGUAGCCAUGGGGGCGCGGGCGGGGCGGGGCGGCACGCGGAGGAGGGUUCUUAUAAUAGCUUUUAUAAUUGCCAGAGCCCGGAGGGAGGCGAGGGCCGGAGCCGGGGGAGCGCCACGCUGGUCCUGCUGCGCUGCCUCGAGAGCAGACCUGGGAGGCAAGACCUGGCGAUCAAGCCCAGCCUCCAGCGCUUGGAAGCCAAGUGACACCGAGCCAGCCAUCCCAGUGGACCCAGGAAGUAUGGUCUACUUUUUCCUUGUCAAUGAAUCCUUAGAAAACAAUCUGCUGGGACCCUUCUUAAAGCUUUUCCAGCAUGGUAGAACUUGCCACCGCUCUAGUCUUCUGUUACCAAAGAUAAAUCACCUCCAGACCACCAGGAAGCACCAGAGAACAUCAGGGGAGACCGAUAAGCUAUGUAAAAGCAAAUACUAA